GAUGGCAUACCAUUUGAAAAAGUAGACAACCCAAGGUAUUGCAAGUGAGGUAUGUCCAGUCUUUUGUAGUAGCCACGUGGUCACAAACACUGGCCAAAUAUAAUUUUUUUUGCUUUUUUUCACACUAAAACAAAUAUGAACGCUAACUUUGGCCAGUGUUUAUGACUAAGUGGCUGCUAAAAAAGACUUGACAUUCCCCACUUGCAAUACCUUGGGUUGUCUACUUUUGCAAAUGGUAUGCCAUC